rnacentral:rRNA from 1 species
UACGGGAGGCAGCAGUAGGGGAAUCUUCCGCAAUGGACGAAAGUCUGACGGAGCAACGCCGCGUGAACGAAGAAGGCUUUCGGGUCGUAAAGUUCUGUUGUUAGGGAAGAACAAGUACCAGAGUAACUGCUGGUACCUUGACGGUACCUAACCAGAAAAGCCACGGCUAACUACGUGCCAGCAGCCGCGGUAAUACGUAGGUGGCAAGCGUUGUCCGGAAUUAUUGGGCGUAAAGCGCGCGCAGGUGGUUCCUUAAGUCUGAUGUGAAAGCCCACGGCUCAACCGUGAGGGUCAUUGGAAACUGGGGAACUUGAGUGCAGAAGAGGAAAGUGGAAUUCCACGUGUAGCGGUGAAAUGCGUAGAGAUGUGGAGGAACACCAGUGGCGAAGGCGACUUUUCUGGUCUGUAACUGACACUGAGGCGCGAAAGCGUGGGGAGCGAACAGGGAUUAGAUACCCGU